rnacentral:rRNA from 1 species
UACGGGGGGGGGUAAGCGUUGUUCGGAAUUACUGGGCGUAAAGGGCUCGUAGGCGGCCAACUAAGUCAGACGUGAAAUCCCCUCAGCUUAACUGGGGAACUGCGUCUGAUACUGGAUGGCUUGGAUUCGGGAGAGGAAUGCGGAAUUCCAGGUGUAGCGGUGAAAAUGCGUAGAUAUCUGGAGGAACACCGGUGGCGAAGGCGGCAUUCUGGACCGACAUUGACGCUGAGGAGCGAAAAGCCAGGGGGAGCAAACGGG